CCUACGGGAGGCAGCAGUGGGGAAUAUUGGACAAGGGGCGAAAGCCUGAUCCAGCAAUACCGCGUGAGUGAUGAAGGCCUUAGGGUUGUAAAGCUCUUUUACCCGGGAUGAUAAUGACAGUACCGGGAGAAUAAGCACCGGCUAACUUCGUGCCAGCAGCCGCGGUAAU
rnacentral:rRNA from 1 species